UCGAAGUUUCAAAUAUUUCACAAGAUUCUCUUCAAAAUGAAGAACAGAUUCAAUACAUCGAACUAUCAAAUGUUUCACAGGUUAACCACAAUGAUACGAACAUAAACACCGCUAAAAAU